CCUACGGGGGACAGCAGUGGGGGAUAUUGCACAAUGGGGGGAACCCUGAUGCAGCGACGCCGCGUGGGUGAAGAAGGGCCUCGGCGCGUAAAGCCCUGUCAGCAGGGAAGAAAAUGACGGUACCUGAAGAAGAAGCCCCGGCUAACGACGUGCCAGCAGCCGCGGUAAUACGGAGGGGGCAAGCGUUAUCCGGAUUUACUGGGUGUAAAGGGGGCGCAGACGGCGAUGCAAGCCAGGAGGGAAAUCCAUGGGCUUAACCCGUGAACUGCUUUUGAAACUGGAGGGCUUGAGUGAAGGAGAGGCAGGCGGAAUUCCCGGUGUAGCGGUGAAAUGCGUAGAGAUCGGGAGGAACACCAGUGGCGAAGGCGGCCUGCUGGGCUUUAACUGACGCUGACGCACGAAAGCGUGGGUAGCAAACCGGAUUCGAUACCCGUGUAGUC
rnacentral:rRNA from 1 species